GCCAUUAUUCUGGAGAUUGAUUAUUUUGCUGAACAUUCUCAUCAAUUACUGAACUUCUGUAUUGAAAAAUUGUUAUAAGACCUUUAUUUGAUUGGACAUAUGGCCACUUAUCAAUUCUUUCAUGAUUUCAUCUUUUAUUUGGACUAUAAAGGCAGCCUAUAAAAGCUGCAGUGGCAGCUACUGCAGAGCAUCUUGCGGGUUUGCUCCCCCUUCAUCUUGUUUAUGGACGAGCCCAUGAGACUGCAAUUGAGGACUGGAUAUGGUCAGUGGGUUGCAACCCUUUCUCCAUUACAUCACAAGGUUGGCACAUUUCACAGUUCCAGUCUGAUUUGAUUGCUCGGAGUUAUGUCAUCACUACUCUUGAAGAAUCAAUUCAGCUGGUUAAUUCUGCCAUUCAUCUUCUACUAAUGGAACGUACUACUGAAAAAACUUUCAAGAUCUUCUAGUCCCAGGAGCAUGAACUUGUAAACAAAUACAAUUAUGUCGUUGGCCUUUGGAGAAGGGUAUCAACUGUCACUGGAGAAUUGCGUUACGUUGAUGCAUUGAGGCUGCUAAACACCUUGGAGGAUGCAUCCCAAAGGUUAGAAACUAGACAGUGUUCUACUACACACAUUUCAAUAGACAAAACAUAAGGAGAAGAUAUGAUACUGUUAAAGUCCCACAUUGACUAAAGAUAUGACCAAAGAAAAUGUAUUGCAAAUCCCGCCCCAAAGCUAGACUUUGGGGUAGUUAGGCCUAGCCAAAAUUCUUAAGAUGAUAUUAAAGUCAAUCCAAGAUUCAUUAUUGAGCCACCCAUGAUGGGUCAUCUGCAAAAGUUUAAAGUUUGAGAAUCUACCCAACCCACAGUUGUUCCAUGAAAAAUUAAUGAAGUCAAUCUGGCCCGCGAUUAUUUUAGGAGAAUUUGGUAAGUUGAUCUGUCCCGUAAAUAUCCCAUGAUGAGCAUGAGGGCAUUUGUGUAAAAUAUCCAGUAAGUCAUUGCUCCAGAUAUCCGGUCCUGAGCAUGAGGGUGGUUUUAAUGUCCUAAAUUGACUAAAGAUAUGUCCAAAAUAGUUUUAAUAAAAGGGAAAAAUUUAACCAACACAAGUAAAAACUUGUGCAAGGUUACACAACAGGCAUUUGACCCAUUAUAACAAGUUUUUUUUAAAAAAAAUCAAAAAACAUAUUUUCUUAAUUAAAUAUUUAUCUUUAAUUAAUUUCAAAAAAAAAAACAUAUAUCCUUAAUAUGUUCCUCUUCUCUCUACCUUCUUCACCUCUUCUCUCUUCAACACCAGAUUCAAAUUUCUAUCAAUCUCAGACAUGUCUCUCUUCAACACCUCCGUGCCGGAAAACUCCACCACCAGCUGUACUUCAACCCCAAAACUCAUCCCCACCACCUCAUCACAAAAUAACCCUUUUCCCUUAUCUCUGUACCUUUUCCCUUCUCUCUCUGCAUCUCCAUUCUGCCAGUGUCAUUGGGGUUCCCGGCGGCGGAGCAGUUGCCGGUGACAGGAUGUGCGACCAUGGAAGCUUCUGAUCAACCCAUUUUCUUGCCGGCUUCCCAGAUCUCGUCCACCCAAGCGCUUUUCCCAGAUCUGGUUCGUUCGGAGAAGCCAGAUCUCCUUUCCCGACUCCAUCUUCCUCACCCUUUGAUGGCGGCGCAAACCACCAACGCACUCCCAUUGUUGCGGCUGAAU